AUUGGCUGAACACCACAGGAGGCAGUGGGCAAGGCGGCCCAGUGAUGCAGUUCUCAGGGACUGGCCUUCCGGGACCCAGAGCAAGGCAGAGAAGGGCAGAGAGUGGGUUUGGAAACCGGGCAAAUGGAAAGGAACCAGGAUGGACGCCCAGCAGGCCAAAGACCUUGGCGUGAGCCCAGCGGGCCCACUGCUGUGUGACAGACGCUGCUUCUCCCUCUGUGCCAGCAGGUGCCUGGCCGAGCUUCCCUGGGGAAGCUAGAGCCACCAACUCCGCACAGCUUUGCCGCUGCAACUCACUGCUCCUCUCAGAUGUCCGACAAGCAGCAUUUUGAGCAACCUGGGUGGAGGCUUUGUUCUGUGAAAUCCACAACUACAGAACCUUCCACGGGCUGACCAGUCUUGUCCUGCUGCGCCCAUACCUCCCACACACUAAAGCGGGUUAUGUAGCCUGUCGAAGUACUUCGGUCCUGAGUCCAAGAAGAAGCUUGGAAGAUGUGGUCUGGCAGAUGAAUUGUUGAAAUUCCCAGUAUCUCGUUUAUUUCGAAGACAUCAAGGAUCAUACAUUGUGAAGAUGACUAAUAUGACCAGAGUCCUUUUCACAUGGACCAGCUUUCCCCAAAGGAGUUAUGAUUUAUGAAGACUCAGGAUGGAAUGCUAAUUCAAAAGCUGCUAGCAAGACUGACUUAAGGAACACACAGAGAUCAAUAAAUAUUUGAUGUGUAUUGGGUUGAAUAGUGGUCCUCCACAAAAACAUGUGCAUGCUUGAAUCCCAGAAACCUCUGAAUGUGACUGUAUUUGUCUUUGCAAAUGCAACGAACUGAUGGAUCUUGGAAUGAAGGGAUUCUUUCACUUCUUCCUGGAUUAUCUAGGUAGCCCCUAAAUGCAGUGAUGUGUCCUUAUAAGAACGAGGCAGAUGGGCAGAUACCACAGACAGAGGAGUGGCAAAUCCAGUGACCAUGGCAGCAGCGAUUGGAGUGCGUGGCCACAAGUCAAAGAAUGUCUGCAAUCCUGGAAACUAGAGACAGGGGACACAUUCUCCCCAAGAGUUCCCAGAGGGAGCACAGUCCUGCUAGAUUUGGAACUUCUAGUCUCCAAACUGAAGGAAUAAAAGUCUCUUGUUUGAAGUCA